GACGAACGCUGGCGGCAGGCCUAACACAUGCAAGUCGAACGAGUGGCGGACGGGUGAGUAAUGUCUGGGAAACUGCCUGCUGGAGGGGGAUAACUACUGGAAACGGUAGCUAAUACCGCAUACCAUCAGAUGUGCCCAGGUGGGAGUAGCUUGUUGGUGGGGUAGCGGCUCACCAAGGCGGCGAUCCCUAGCUGGACUGAGAGGAUGACCAGCAACUCGGGAACGGGGACACGGUCCAGACUCGUAAGGAAGACAGCAGUGGGGAAUAUUGCACAAGGGGCGCAAGCCUGAUGCAGCCAUGCCGGGUGUAUGAAGAAGGCCUUCGGGUUGUAAAGGACUUUCAGCGGGGAGGCGUUACCCGCAGAAGAAGCACCGGCUAACUCCGUGCCAGCAGCCGCGGUAAUAC
rnacentral:rRNA from 1 species